UACGUAGGGUGCGAGCGUUGUCCGGAAUUAUUGGGCGUAAAGAGCUCGUAGGCGGUGUGUCACGUACGGCCGUGAAAACCUGCAGCUUAACUGUGGGCGUGCGGUCGAUACGGGCAUCACUGGAGUUCGGCAGGGGAGACUGGAAUUCCUGGUGUAGCGGUGAAAUGCGCAGAUAUCAGGAGGAACACCGGUGGCGAAGGCGGGUCUCUGGGCCGAUACUGACGCUGAGGAGCGAAAGCGUGGGGAGCAAACAGG
rnacentral:rRNA from 1 species